GUUCCGUCUUUCUUGUGAAAGUAUGUGGGCUGUUGGACCAUGGAGUUUUCUUAUAGUGUCUACUCGGAUCUUGAUCACACUGGAGUCAAAUGGAUAACCUUAAAUUCAUCAGACUUUGUUUCAUAAGUCUUUAACACUCCAAAGCAGGCAGAAUUCUGUAAUUCAAGAGGACCACAACGAGUGACCCUUGAUUAAUGGCCACAUGUGAAGGCGUAUGUGCGAUCCAUGCUCCUGAAGGCCCUUCGGUGCCAAACCCACGUGGAGCAGUGGAUGACCCACACCAUGGGUUUUCUCAAAGCGGUCUAGCGUUUACCAGCCAUGGGGAGGAAAUGCCUUUGAGUAUUGAAGUUGCUUUAUUAGGACCAGCUAGUGUUCCAAGGUGUUGUUUAUGAAAAGGCAUUCUAGUACUUUCCAUUUAACUCCUCAAAGCUGUCACUAAUUGCUUGUAACUUGUUCUAUGCAAGUGUAAAUCUGUCUUUCAACUGGCAGUUACCUCUAUUUUCCAAUAAAACUUUAUGAAAACUUG